GACGAACGCUGGCGGCGUGCCUAAUACAUGCAAGUCGAGCGCUGAAGGUUGGUACUUGUACCACUGGGAUGAGCAGCGGACGGGUGAGUAACGCGUGGGGAACCUGCCUUUGAGCGGGGGACAACAUUGGGAAACGAAUGCUAAUACCGCAUAAAAACUUUAAACACAAGGUUCAAGAUUGAAAGAUGCUAUUGCAUCACUCAAAGAUGAUACCGCGUUUUAUUAAGUAGUUGGUGAGGUAAAGGCCCACCAAAGCGAAGAUACAUAGCCGACCUGAGAGGGUGAUCGGCCCACAUGGGACUGAGACACGGCUCAAACUUCCACGGGAGGCCGCAGUAGGGGAUCUUCCGGAAAUGGGGGAAGUCUGGACGGGGCACGCCGCGUGGGUGAAGAAGGUUUUCGGGUCGUAAAAACCUUUUGGUAGGGAAAGACGAUGUGUGGAGUUGAAAGCUCAUCAAUUGACGGUAACUACCCAGAAAGGCACGGCUAACUACGUG
rnacentral:rRNA from 1 species